CGAAACGGCGGACUCUCCGUCCAGGAUCCUGAGUACGGCGGAACACGUGAAAUUCCGUCGGAAUCCGGGAGGACCAUCUCCCAAGGCUAAAUACUCCCUAGUGACCGAUAGUGAACCAGUACCGUGAGGGAAAGGUGAAAAGCACCCCGGAAGGGGAGUGAAACAGUUCCUGAAACCGUGUGCCUACAAUUAGUCAAAGCCCGUUAAGGGGUAAUGGCGUGCCUUUUGUAGAAUGAACCGGCGAGUUACGUUUGCCUGCGAGGUUAAGAUGAAAAGUCGGAGCCGGAGCGAAAGCGAGUCUGAACAGGGCG
rnacentral:rRNA from 1 species